rnacentral:rRNA from 1 species
AGCCUUUAGCCAAUCAAGUAUUAGAGGUAACGCCUGCCCAGUGAGUCCAUCUUUAACGGCCGCGCUCAAACCGUGCAAAGGUAGCAAAAUCAUUUGUCCUCUAAAUAGGGACCAGCAUGAACGGCAACAUGAGAAAGUGCCUGUCUCUUUAGGCUAGUCAGUGAAACUGAUCUGCCUGUACAAAAGCAGGCAUAAAAAAACAAGACAAAAAGACCCUGUGAAACUUUAAGUGCCUUUCAACAUUAUGACUGGGCACUUUUCGGUUGGGGCAACCAAUGAGAAACAAACCUCAUAAAAUCACAAGGCACACAAGCCUAAUGAACACUAAAGAUCCAGUACUACUGAUCAAAGGACAAAGCUACUCCAGGGAUAACAGCGCCACAUUCUUUAAGAGUCCAUAUCAACAAGAAUACCUACGACCUCGAUGUUGGAUCAGGACACCCCGAUGGCGCAGAAGCUAUUGAAG